AUUGAACGCUGGCGGCAGGCCUAACACAUGCAAGUCGAGCGGAUGAGGAAAGCUUGCUUUUCGAUUCAGCGGCGGACGGGUGAGUAAUGCCUAGGAAUCUGCCUGUUAGUGGGGGAUAACUCGGGGAAACUCGGGCUAAUACCGCAUACGUCCUACGGGAGAAAGUGGGGGAUCUUCGGACCUCCAGCUAACAGAUGAGCCUAGGUCGGAUUAGCUAGUAGGUGAGGUAAUGGCUCACCUAGGCGACGAUCCGUAACUGGUCUGAGAGGAUGAUCAGUCACACUGGAACUGAGACACGGUCCAGACUCCUACGGGAGGCAGCAGUGGGGAAUAUUGGACAAUGGGCGAAAGCCUGAUCCAGCCAUGCCGCGUGUGUGAAGAAGGUCUUCGGAUUGUAAAGCACUUUAAGUUGGGAGGAAGGGUAUUCACCUAAUACGUGGGUACUUUGACGUUACCAACAGAAUAAGCACCGGCUAACUCUGUGCCAGCCGCCGCAGUAACAC
rnacentral:rRNA from 1 species